rnacentral:rRNA from 1 species
UACAGAGGGGGCAAGCGUUGUUCGGAAUUACUGGGCGUAAAGGGCGCGUAGGCGGCCUGCUAAGUCGAACGUGAAAUCCCUGGGCUCAACCCAGGAACUGCGUCCGAUACUGGUUGGCUUGAAUCCGGGAGAGGGAUGUGGAAUUCCAGGUGUAGCGGUGAAAUGCGUAGAUAUCAGGAGGAACACCAAUGGCGAAGGCAGCUCGCUGGGACGGUACUGACGCUGAGGCGCGAAAGCGUGGGGAGCAAACGGG